AUGACUGAGAGCUGCUGCCCACAAACUUCACCCACAGCAGACAUGACUUUGACCACCAUCUUCAUCUGGACUCUGAUCUUCUGGACUCAAGGAUCCAGAGGUCAGGCGACUGUGACUCAGACUCCUGCAGUGAAAUCUGCUCUUCCAGGAGAAACAGUCACCAUCAGCUGUAGAACCAGCCCUGCAGUUUAUAGUAACCAUUUCUCCUGGUACCUGCAGAAACCUGGAGAAGCUCCUAAACUCCUGAUCUACACCACUAGCAGCUUACAGUCAGGAACUCCAGCUCGUUUCAGAGGCAGUGGAUCUGGAUCUGACUUCACUCUGACCAUCAGUGGAGUCCAGACUGAAGAUGAUGGAGAUUAUUACUGCCUGGGUGUAUUUUACAUCAGUAGUAGAUACUCGUUCACACAGUGAUACAGAGCCGUACAAAAAGCUGUGAGAGUCAGAGACACAGAGACUGCACUGCUGCAGCUGAGACCUACUGCAGGUGCUGAGGGGGAGGAUGUGAUACAGCACAAUCACACACUCUGUGGAGGAGAGGAAACACACCACACUAACACACAA